GUAGGUGGCAAGCGUUAUCCGGAAUUAUUGGGCGUAAAGCGCGCGCAGGCGGUUUCUUAAGUCUGAUGUGAAAGCCCACGGCUCAACCGUGGAGGGUCAUUGGAAACUGGGGAACUUGAGUGCAGAAGAGAAAAGCGGAAUUCCACGUGUAGCGGUGAAAUGCGUAGAGAUGUGGAGGAACACCAGUGGCGAAGGCGGCUUUUUGGUCUGUAACUGACGCUGAGGCGCGAAAGCGUGGGGAGCAAACAGGGAUUAGAUACCCUGGUAGUCCACGCCGUAAACGAUGAGUGCUAAGUGUUAGAGGGUUUUCCGCCCCUUUAGUGCUGCAGCUAACGCAUUAAGCACCCCCGCCUGGGGAUACGGUCGCAAGACUG
rnacentral:rRNA from 1 species